AUUGAACGCUGGCGGCAGGCCUAACACAUGCAAGUCGAACGAGUGGCGGACGGGUGAGUAAUGUCUGGGAAACUGCCCGAUGGAGGGGGAUAACUACUGGAAACGGUAGCUAAUACCGCAUACCAUCGGAUGUGCCCAGAUGGGAUUAGCUAGUAGGUGGGGUAACGGCUCACCUAGGCGACGAUCCCUAGCUGGUCUGAGAGGAUGACCGGCCACGUUGAUGCUGAGAAACGGUCCAGAGUCUUACGAGGGCCAGCAGUGGGGAAUAUUGGACAAUGGGGGCAAGCGUCAUGCAGCCAUGCUGAUUGUAUGAAUAUUGGUUGCGGGUUGUAAAUUACUUUCAGCGAGGAGGCGUUUUUCGCAGAAGAAGCACCGGCAAAAUAAGUGCCAGCCGCCGCGGUAAUAC
rnacentral:rRNA from 1 species